rnacentral:miRNA from 1 species
UUGAGGCUUCAAAGCUCUGAAGCCAGGCAUUGACUUCUCUCUAACUAUGAAAGUCCUUCCUACAGAAGAUGCC